rnacentral:lncRNA from 1 species
GUUAGUCUAGUGCUUGUUCUGAGCAUGAAAUGGAGGAACUGCGGAGACUGGAGUUCCACGGGCCCCAAGUGUGAGGCGGGUGGGGAGCAGGAGUUGUGAGUGGAGAUUUCAGAGAAACCGCAGGCAGAGCAAUCAGAAGGCUGUGAGUGAGAAAGGGCAGAAGGCGCUCUUUUAUCUCAGGUCUGGGCUGUGGGCCAGGAAGGCAGAGACACCACCAGGGAAAUCCAGGGUAGAAUGUGGCCAGGUUGCAGAAAGCUCCAGAUGCCGGUGUAAGGAGUUGGCGCUUUACCCUGUGGAGUCAGAGCCUGGAUGUUUUUUUGAGCAGAGGAGGAACACAAGGAAAGCAGCCAGUCAGCGCCUCGCCAGUCCCUGCAGCAUUGGAGCCGGCGCAGGUUUCAUGUCCUCUGUGAUUGCAGCCCUCGGCUCCAGCAUUGGAAGCACAGCAGAAAAUCAGAUUUUUGGUCUGGAUCCAAAACAGAAAUAUGACACCCCAUAUACGGUCAGUGUGUAUGUGUUUCUCUAAAAGAAUCACUUAACCUAAUUUUCUGAGCAUCAACUCCAAAUGCCAUGUAGACCAAGUGGAAAAAAAAAAAAUUCACCCAAGUACAAAGGGGAGCUCUUGCUCUUCACCUUAAACAGCCCAUGAAGCUUUUUAGCAAUUGACGGGUUCCUCUCCCUCUCGCUGCUCUGUUCUCUAAGCCCGCAGGAAGGAAGAUCUCCUGGAAAAAUGUCCUUGUGGUGUUAGGGCGAGGACGGUGGGGUCAUGGGGAUGUGAGCCUCGGCUGACAACUCAGGAGAAAGGGACACUUGUCGGUGGCCUCUGAGGACCGCUCCCAGGCACUGCUAAAGAUCACAGGGUCUGGGAUAGGGUAGGGGUCCAGGCAGCUGCAAACGCCUGCACAUCAUCUGGUGCUGAGGCUCCCGGGAUGCUUCUGCUCCUGCUGUUCUCCCCAUCCUCACACCACUCCACUCAAUUAUCCCAGCAGGGGGCUGGGGGGGGCACCUUGACUCAAAUUUCACCGAGACUAUUCAUGGUGGCGAGGAGAGAGGAAAUUAGGGGGCUGGUGGGAAGGAGGGAGAGAUGCUGGGUUCCCAGACACCCCUCUAAUAUUCACUUUA